rnacentral:rRNA from 1 species
GAGUAGGGCGGGACACGUGGUAUCCUGUCUGAAUAUGGGGGGACCAUCCUCCAAGGCUAAAUACUCCUGACUGACCGAUAGUGAACCAGUACCGUGAGGGAAAGGCGAAAAGAACCCCGGCGAGGGGAGUGAAAAAGAACCUGAAACCGUGUACGUACAAGCAGUGGGAGCACAGGUUUACCUGUGUGACUGCGUACCUUUUGUAUAAUGGGUCAGCGACUUAUAUUCUGUAGCAAGGUUAACCGUAUAGGGGAGCCGGAGGGAAACCGAGUCUUAACCGGGCGUUAAGUUGCAGGGUAUAGACCCGAAACCCGGUGAUCUAGCCAUGGGCAGGUUGAAGGUUGGGUAACACUAACUGGAGGACCGAACCGACUAAUGUUGAAAAAUUAGCGGAUGACCUGUGGCUGGGGGUGAAAGGCCAAUCAAACCGGGAGAUAGCUGGUUCUCCCCGAAAGCUAUUUAGGUAGCGCCUCGUGAAUUCAUCUCCGGGGGUAGAGCACUGUUUCGGCUAGGGGGCCAUCCCGGCUUACCAACCCGAUGCAAACUGCGAAUACCGGAGAAUGU